UACGGUCACAUUACGUUGAAACACUCGGUCCCGUACGAUCACUGACGUUAAGCAACGUUGAGUCUGGUCAGUACCUAAAUGGGUGACCGCUUGGGAUUAUCAGUUGCUGUAAG